AAACCGGAAGAAGUCCCCUGUAGUCAGGAAAACAUCCCUAGAGAAUGAAGCUCGAGUCUUUUCACAAACCGAUGAGUACUUCACAUAAAGUAUAAGCAAGAUCACAUUCAACCAAUAAGAUAAACCGAUUGACAAUGCUGCUCCGAUAAUCCCUAAAUUCAAUUUGAAUAUAAAAACCCAACAAAUCGUAACUUGGAAGCAUAAAGAUACAACUGCACUUAAAAGCAUUGGUAGGAUUAAACUCUGUGCCUGCAGAUACCGGACUAGUGACUGAAGAAUAGCAUAUGGAAAUAGUGUAGGAAUGAGCCAAAUCGCGUAUUUUCCAGCUUCAGUUGCAAUGGAAGGAUCUUGGCCCAUCAAUAUAAGAAGUUUAUCCGUAAAGAUCCACAGAACAGAGACUGGUAUACAUACCAGAAACAGACAAAUAAUAGCACUAUAAGUAAAAGUUCCAAGUUUUCGAUAUUGUCCUGCUCCAUAGGCCUGCCCACAUAGAGUCUCCAGCGCACUACACAUUCCAAACUGUUCCACAAAGUAAAUUCAUGAUGAUUCUUCAUCUACACAAAGGAUAAGAAAUGUAUGCAAGCAAGCAAUUUCUGUGUUAAAUUGUUCCUUCAUUUUUUCCUUUUUUAUAGGCAAGACAUGGGGCAAUAAUCCCAACGACAAUAACAACAACAUAGAGUGUAUGUAAACCUUACCACUACCUCGUCAAGAUAGAGAGGUUGUUUACGAAAGCCUCUCGGCUCAAGUGUAUCAAACUCAAGUGGAGGAAGAAUAAAACAAUGAAAAAAGCCUAGUCAAUAAUUAGAAAAGUGCUAAGUGUAUAAGAAAGGAAUUCUAACAAACAUCAAAAUAGUAUGAUAAUUGAAAACACAAUAAAUGGCAGGAACUACAAGGGUACGACUAGUACUAAGACUAUUAUCCCUCUACCCUAAUACGCGCCCUCCACUCUUUCCUAUCUAGAGUCACAUACUCGGUAAUAUGAAGAUGUAUCAUGUUCUAUCUAAUCACAUCUCCUCAGUACUUCUUCGACCUACCUAUACCCCUCAGUGUGCCCUCUACAAAUAGCCUCUCUCACCUCCUCACUGGGGCAUUAGUGCACCUCCUCUACAUAUGUCCAAACUAUCUCAAUCUCAUUUCUCUCAUCUUGUCCGCCACAGAAGCCACUCCAACCUUCUCCCGAAUAACCUCAUUCUUAAUCUUAUCGCUCCUAGUAUGCCCAAACAUUCAUCUCAACAUCCACAACAUGCAUCUUCUGCACAUGUGAGUUCUUGACUGGCCAGCAAUCCAACACAUACAACAAGGACGGUCUAACCACCACUCUAUAGAACUUCCCUUUUAAGUUUAGAUGAUACUUCUUAUCAUACAAGACUCCAGAGGCAAGCUUCCAUUUCAUCCAUGUAUCCCCAAUGCAAUGUGUGACAUUGUCAAUGUCCCCACUAGAUCAUAUAGACUCAAAAUACUUAAAACAUUUUCUCUUGGGAAUAAUUUGUGUGACAAGCCUUACUUCUACGACUGCCUUAUGUGACGCAACAAUGAUUUUGCACUCUAAAUAUUUCGUUUUGGCUUCAGAGUUUGUCUCCAAACCUGUAACCUAGCAUUAACUCUGUCCAAUGUCUCAAUGAUCAGAACUAUGCCGUAUGCAAAUAGCAUACACCAAGGAACUGCUCCCCAGGAACAGAAUAAUAUAAAGUAAUAUGUUUUUGAAUAAGGAAAUUCAAUUGAGCUAAUAAACAUGAUCGAUACAAUGAAUAUGGAAGAAUGAGACUUACAAGAACACUGUAACCAGUAACAUUGGAAAGUGAAGUAGCAAUAGAAGCACUAGAAAGUGAGAGUUCACCAAGGUGACCUAACAUAAUCAUUGGCGAAACGCGCAAAAGGUACUGUGAUACUGUCACCAGUGGCGGAGCCAGGAUUUAGAUUGAGGGGUGUCAAAAUAUAAAGUAGUAUGCACACAAAAAAUUCAACAAAAUAAAUUUUACUAAUAAAAGCAAAACAUAAUUAUUAAAGUAAACUUAAUUUAAGUCAAUGUUUAAAAAUUGGAGGAAAAAAACGUUUAGCUAUCUAAAAACUAAAGACAAAAAAGUUACAGUUGUCUAAAAAGUAAAAAAAAAAACGCUGAAAGCCUUUUAAAAAAAUAGACUUCAGCAAGGUUCGAACUCCCAACGCCUAGGUCAAUGACAAGGCAGAACUUUGUAGCCCCUGAACCGCUGAACCAACACUUCAACUUUGUUCAGGAGUGUCAAUUUUAAUAUAUAUAGGUAUAGAAUCAGAAUUUGACUUACCUAUACAACGUAAUUUUCCGAUGAAGGGGUGUCGCUUGACACCCCUCGGGCAAGGGUAGCUCCGCCCCUGACUGUCACCACUAUCAUAGGCAAAGCAAUGCGACUCGUCUCUUUCACCUCUUCAACAAACACUUUCUCUGUCACCGCCACAUCUUCUUUCUCCAGAUUAACCAGCGGCUCUUCCUCCGCCAUAAUCCUUUACUACUAGAAAUUACUUUUAUUUCACUUCUCUGUUUGUUUCUUCAGAAAUUAUGAGUAUUUUUUUUAGAGGCUUAGAUAAAAUUGGAUUGCACUGUUUACGGAAUUAAUAUGUCAAAUGAUUACUUAACUAUAGAGUUGUCAAAGAGGGUCGGCCCGGUCCCAUCCGGCCCAAGCCUCGUAGAUCAAGAAAUUUGAAGGACUAGAGCGGGCCAGCUCUUCAUUUGGAAGGGCAUGAAAAUACUCAACCCAACCUAACCUAAGGACCGAGGGUUGGGGCGAGCUAGCCCUUCUUUAUUUUUUCUUUUCAAACUUAAAAUUUAUAACACUAAGAAAAUGAGAAGAUUUUCAAAUCAAAUAUGACAAACAAUGGUGUUGUUUCAAUAACACUAGCAAAAAAAUCAAUGUAAUUAGCAUGUAUCUAGGAUACUAGAUAUGCGAGAUACAUGUAUAUGGUGUGAUGCAUCCAGACACACGAGCAAGAUAAGAGAGUGGCAAGCGAGAUGGGAGGGAGACGAGAGUGCGGGAUUUGUCUAUGUAUCCUAAUUCAUGUUAAUCCACUUGGGUAGAGUACAUCUAGAACAAAUUAAUCUAAUUUUGAGUCCAUGUAUCCUGAGAUUACAAGUAUCUAGAUGUACUAAAAUCCGGUAAGAUUCAUAAUAUUACAACAUAACAUGAAUUUAAGUAAUUAGUUCAUAUACUAGCGAGAUUGUUGUAAAUAACCCUUAAAUAAAUAGUUUUGGCCCAUGGGCUGACCCUGGUCCGCCCCCGAUCAAGCCUCAAGGACAAAUGACUUAUAUAGGUUGAGUUUAUAAGCCGUAGUUUUAAAGGAAAAAUUACUUGGAUGAGUACCUUUUAGUAAAUAUUUACUGAUUUUAGCGAUACUUUUUAUUUAUUAUCAUUUAUAGCAAUACAUAGCAAUACUAUGUUAAAUCUGCAAUAUGUAUUAAAAGUGAAUUAUGUAUGCAAUAUAUAUGUAUUAUAAUUAUUUGUAUUAAAAGUGAAUUAAGUAUGCAAUAUAUAUGUAUUAUAACUAUUUUUAAAAAUAUAUUAUGCUUGUUUGGUAAGAAAUUGACACAUUGUAUUAUAAGUGUAUUAAAAUGUGUGAUAAAUGUAUUAUCCAUGAAUAAAACUUGUAUUAUAUGUGAAUAAUAAAUUGUUCUUUGUAUAUUGAACUAGUAUUAUAAAUGUAUUAAAAGUGAUCAAGUGAAAAAAAAAUGUUAUUGCUAUAAAUGGUAAAUAUUUUUUAAUAUAGUAUAUUUAUGUAAAUAUCCCUGCUUUAAAUGAGUUUGAAAAAUCCUAACUCAACCCUAUCUCAAUAAAGGGUUGGGUUGGGCCAACCCCAUAGGCGAAACCCAUUUUAACCGCUCUACUUAACUAAUACUUUUUUUUCACAAAAAAAGUUACUCAAUUAAGAGUUAUUCUCACAUAAAUGACUUAAUUUUCUUUUAUAACCCUCAAAUCACUCAAAAAAGUCAAAACUAUUUAGGACUCCCAUAUGGAUAUACUAAAUUGCUAAUAAAAAUACUUCCUCCCCUACUUUGUAGGUCUUUCUUUGUUGGUUUGGUUGAUACGGAGGGAGUAAAUAUUAUAUUCCAAGUGAUUUUAUUAAAAGGACAACUCCGUGAUCUUAAAGUUUUGACCUAACAUUUGCUGCUUUCAAAAAUAAAAAGUUGACUUAACAUUUAUGUAAAAUAGAAGCACAUGUUUCGUUGACUCGCAAUUAUAUUUAGUAUAAGUAACGAUCAAUAACAGAUCUAUCAAUUAAUUAGAUAGUGUAUUAUUUUAUUUGCAUAUUGUGUUUUUAUUUAAAGGAUUCAUGUAUGCUGUGGGCCUAUAAUUUAGAGGAUUAUAUGGUUUUUAUAUAUUGUCGGCAAGCAAUUUUGAUUAUAUUAUUUUUAUUUAUAUCGUUCUUUGUAUGUUGUCAGCCCAAAAUUCAGUCAAUAAGAUUUUUCAUGAACUUAUUUAAUAUAACAGAAGAAAAACUUAGAUUAUUCACAGCCCUCCAUCUAUGCAAAGAAAAACAAGGGGAAAAGAGUUUAAAAGGAAAAUGAAAGAAAAGAUUAUAGUUAUGAAGUUUGUCUGCAACAUCUACUAACUAGAUAAUCACUACUAAAUCAUAUAGUAUAUGUUACUUGUAACAUGAACAAAUUUAGUCACUUGCUGAUCAGUUAAUUUAUCUAACUGUGACAUAUCUUUAUGAGAAAAUCGUUUGAACAAGCAUACUGCGUACUUGUAUCAAUUUUCCAAUUGUGUAGCACCAAAUAAUUCCAUUUGUGUGAGUUUGUUCACAUUGUACGUCGGUUCCAAAUUCAAACAAAAAUGGAGGGUUCGAGAAUUAAUCAGAAUUAAAAAAAAAAAAUUGUUAUAUUAUAUUUAUUCUAAUGAUAAAUGUAGUUGAGUGAUUAUUGAAAAGAAAAAUCUUAAGUUGAGUAAUUUUAAUAAUACAAAUCAAAGUUCAAUGAAUCUACUAGAUAAAUUCUCAUAGUCGAGUAACCUUUUAGGAUAUUAACUCUCUAUUAUAGCAUCUGGCCUGUCCUGUCAUUCAAUGAGCUGAUUUUCCCCAGCAAGCUUUUCACUAAAAAUUCUGUGUCUUGCUUCAAUGGCCUGUAAAUUCAAAUGCACGAGUGGUAAGUCCCAUAAGCCAUAAGGUAGCUUCUAUAUCCGGAAAAAAAAGUUUCCUUAAGCUAGGCAUAAGGUGAGAAUUGCCCAGGAAACAAGUUUUCAUUAUGCCAUUCAAUGCAGGACACGUAACAAUAACCAAAAGAAAGUGUCAACACCAGUAACAAAUCAAGGUAAGAGUUGAAUAGGUCUGAACCUGUUUUUCCCAAUUGGUGAAGCUGGUGACAAGGGAGAGUGAAAUAGAUUGCACAGCUGCUCCAGCCACCAAUCCACUCCAAAGACCCUUGCCAUUUAGAUGCAAUACAAAUCCAAGUAAUAGAGCCGUGGGAAUUCCAACCAAAUAAUAUGCUCCAAGGUUCACAUAGGCACCAAUAUGCUGCCACCCGCUUCCUCUAGCAACUCCUGAUUAGAGGCAGAUUCACGAUUUAAAUUCUUGAAAUAUAUGAGUUCAAACAUAUUAAAAUUUGUACUAAUUUUGGAGAUUUCACAUUUAUAUAUCUAUGAUCAAAAUAUAAACUGUGGACUCAAUUAAGUGCAUCCAAUACACUACAAAUCUGCCGCUGCUUCUGAUGCAAUGAGCAAGCAACACUAAAAGGCAUGGGGAGACAACUCUUGUGUUCUUGUUGGUCAAUUCCAUUUAUUGUAUUUCAAAACUUAAAAGCUGGAAUAACUCUUUUGGUCUCAAUAUAAAUUUGCAAUUUGCAAAUAAAGCAAAUGAGGAUGGUCGAAGAGAUAACCUGAUAGUACAGCUUGGGUGCCGUCCAUGAUAAUUGAUAUGCAAAGAAUAGGAGUAAUUUCUGCAACAUAAGUGGCCACUUCUUUCUCAUAAGUAAACGCAUAGCCCCAUACAUCGCGGACCAUAAAUAGAGUUAUACUUGCAAGAACAACCUCAGCGGCAGAAAGAACUAUCACAGCAACAAGAGCAAUUUUUGCCGCCUGUGGCCUCCCAGCUCCAAGCUCAUUUGAAACCCGAGUACUACAUACAAUAUUAAUUUCUUCAAAUUUUGCAUGUUUAUCUCUAUGCAACUAACAAUAUCAGAUUAAUACUGGGUUUAUAGGACAGGAGCAGACCUUGCUGCAGCACCGAAAGAAUAAGGUAUAUGGUAGUGCACAGAAGUAGUUGUAAAGCUGUUCUCCAAGAAGUUAGACCAUGACAAUGAAUCAGUAUAUAAUCAUUUCAAACAUCUGAAGGGAAAAAACAAAACGAAGCAUACCAUAUGGAAAGAACAGAAGUCUCUAGCAUCGGAUUUGGCAACAGACCAGAGAGCAGAAUGAUUAGCUCAAAUGACCACCAUUCCAAGCUAUAACCACGUUCGGAAAAAAAGUUGAAGAAAUAAUUAAGGAUCAAUCAUAAAUUCAAUCACAAUGCAUAUAUGUAUGUUUUUCUAUUGAGAUUACCAAACCAUUACAGCAGAUGGGAUGGCAAGACGGAAGAAGUCCCCUAUAGUCAGGAAAACAUCCAUAGAGAAUGAAGCUCGAGUCUUUUCACAAGCCGAUGAGUACUUCACAUAAAGCAUAAGUGAGAUCACAUUCAACCAAUAGGAUAAACCAAUUGACAAUGCUGCUCCCACAAUCCCUAAAUUCAAUUUGAAUAUAAAAGCCCAACAAAUUGUCACUUGGAAGAAUAAAGAUGCAACUGCAUUUAAAAGCAUUGGUAG
rnacentral:lncRNA from 1 species